rnacentral:lncRNA from 1 species
AAUGCCUCUUAAUAGUGUUCAGUUAUUUCUAGAACCCUGAAAGUUUGUGGAAAUCCACCUAGAACAGGGGUGGGGAACCUGUGACCUCGAGGCCACAUGUGGCUUUCUAGAUCCUUGGGUGAGGCCUUUUGACUGAGUCCAAGUUUUAUAGAACAAAUCCUUUCAUUAAGGGGGUUUUUUCUCUGAAGUUUGGAUUCAGUCAAAGGGCUGUGCUUGAGGACCUAGAGGGUGGCCUCGAGGCUGCAGGUUCCUCACCCGUGACCUAGAAGGAAAACUUAUUGAGAGAUUUGAAGACAGGACAGGGAAAGUAAGCUACUGGUUUGGUCCCCAGAAGAAGAUGACUGGAGAAUCUAGUAGAUGGGGGGAUGAAUGAAAGGUGGGCAGAGAGAUUGAGCGAGAAAUUUCAGGAGAAACCACCCAUGAGAAUGACCAUAUCCUGUAAGCCACUAAUGAGGAUUUUUUGCACUAAAUCUCACAGGACCAACAGGUUUCGUAAACUUGUAUGCUUCUCCUACAGGUCCUUCCCCUAAGGGCAAAGCCACUGUGAAUACAGAGAGCCCAGAGGAUUCCAGCGAAGAGGAAAUGAUAGAGCCUUCCCAGUCUGUCCUUUCAGGUUAUGCAUUUCCCAGUUCAUCUCUCCCUGUAUCCAUAAACCCUCAGCUACAGAAGGCACCUCCCAAGCAAAGACUUGCAGCGAUUGCCUCUGCAGGCCCAGCUCUGCCAGUGUCUUACAAAGGAAGUCCUCAGAGUGACAGCAGUGAUUCUGAGGUAGAGUGCAAGACAGAAUCAGAAGAGCAGCCUCCCCAGACUGGGAAAAAAUUGAAGACCUCAGUCUCCAGGCAUCAGUCGAUUGGAAAGGGGUUCAAGUCAGGCGCAGUCGAUUGUAAACCUGCCUCACCCAAACAUGGGAUCAGCUGUCAGAGUCCCGUAAAGUCUAUGGAUCCUUCCAACCUCCCUUCUCUAAUUCGGCUACAGAUCUCAAGUGCUGAUGAGAACUCAGAGCUUAACAAUGCAUCUCUCAACUCCAAGGCCUCUGGAAUAAGAAUGCUCAGUGACUUGCUGAAGCUAGAAAAGAAGAAUAAAAGUACUGAAUCCUCAAAGUCAGGCAAGGGGAGCAAGAAAUCAAAAUCAAAACGAAAACUGACAGAAGACAGCCCUGUUGCUAAAGCCCCCAAGAGCAAGAAGAAGAAGUUGAUGAGUGAGGUCCCUAAGGAAGGGGAGACUUUGCAAGAAAAAACCAUUGGGACUACCAAGGUGGGGAAAAAAGAGAAAGCAAGUGGUGAUGCUAAAGAAAAGAAGCCAAAGGGGGUUCAUAGCUCCAAGAAGAACAAAGAGAAGCCACAAGGAAACAUUACAGUCACAGUGGGAGAAAGUGGAAAAACGCUAGGCCCCAAGACCAAAAAAGAGAAGAAGCAAAAGAAGAAAUCUGACAAGAAGAAAAAGAGCAAGGACAAAAAGGAUAAGAAGAAGAAAAAGCAGUCCAUUUCCAAAAAUCCUGACCCUGCCUCAGUAUCCCUCAAGAAAGAGAAGAAAAAGGAUUUCUCUAGCCAAGUCUUGAAUGUCGAUGUCAACCUCCCACUUGGGGGAAAAAAAACCCAACCAAAUCCCAGCAUGACCCGUGAGCCAGUGGAUCCAGCAGGAGCGCACUAGGGCACCGAGAGAGCGCACUGCACUCAAAUGUGUCCCUAAUGAAUUGAGUGAUCUCCAUAGAGAUUAUACCCAAUAUUUAUAUAUGUAUGUAUAUGUAUGUAUAUAUAUAUAUAUGUACAGUAUUUUUUUAAAAGAGAGACUCUCCCUUUCUCCCACUGACAUUCCUUUGGUACUCCUUGGCUGCAGAGCCUUUCCUUCCAAACUUUGCCUAGAAGACCUGGGGAAUGCCACGGCUGCCCCUGUGGAGACAGAGCUCAUCCUCAUGGAAUCUUGGUCUCAAGCAGGUGGCUGCACUUGAGUGGCUUUCCUGUGUCUUAACUUUUUAUCUAACGUGUUUAUACAGAACUCUGCAAAUAAAAGAUUGGUGUGGAAGAGUCCCUGACUGCUG